rnacentral:rRNA from 1 species
UACGUAGGGUGCAAGCGUUAAUCGGAAUUACUGGGCGUAAAGCGUGCGCAGGCGGUUUUGUAAGUCUGUCGUGAAAGCCCCGGGCUUAACCUGGGAACUGCAUUUGUGACUGCACGGCUAGAGUGUGUCAGAGGGGGGUAGAAUUCCACGUGUAGCAGUGAAAUGCGUAGAUAUGUGGAGGAAUACCGAUGGCGAAGGCAGCCUCCUGGGAUAACACUGACGCUCAUGCACGAAAGCGUGGGGAGCAAACAGG